rnacentral:rRNA from 1 species
UACGUAGGGGCCAAGCGUUGUCCGGAAUCAUUGGGCGUAAAGGGCGUGUAGGCGGUCUGAUAAGUCAGAUGUUAAAUCUACGAGCUCAACUCGUAGCCGCAUCUGAUACUGUCAGGCUAGAGAAUGGUAGAGGAAAGCGGAACUUCCGGUGUAGCGGUGAAAUGCGUAGAUAUCGGAAGGAACACCAGUGGCGAAGGCGGCUUUCGGGGCCAUUUCUGACGAUGAGACGCGAAAGCUAGGGGAGCGAACGGG